GAUGAACGCUAGCGGCAGGCUUAAUACAUGCAAGUCGAACGGCAGCACGGGUAGCAAUAUCUGGUGGCGAGUGGCGCACGGGUGCGUAACGCGUAUGCAAUCUACCUUCAACUGGUGAAUAGCCCGAAGAAAUUCGGAUUAACACACCAUAGUAUAUUAGAGUGGCAUCACUUUAAUAUUAAACUCCGGUGGUUGAAGAUGAGCAUGCGUGACAUUAGCUAGUUGGUGAGGUAAUGGCUCACCAAGGCUACGAUGUCUAGGGGAUCUGAGAGGAUUAACCCCA
rnacentral:rRNA from 1 species